CCCGGGGUACACAUGUCAGGGGGACUCCCUUGGAGGGCUGGCUGUGCACGGCCCGGGGGGGGAAGCUCUUUUUGGAAGAGUAAGAUGGGAAGCUGGCCAGAGGCCAGGAGUGGCGCAGGAACCCCUGUGUCAGCCAGGGCACAAGCAGGAGACAGAAAUCAAAGCAGCUUGUUUUUAUAACAGAGAGGAUGCAAGAGCAAGACUUGUUAACGAGGUAACUGCAGAGGCCAAGCAGAAGUCUAAAGCAUCACGGAGGCAGCAUCUGGGAAGCAGCGGCCCCCCCAAGCUGGGGGGACGCAAGAUAAAGGGAGAGACUGAAAUUACGCAAACUUAGAAACUCGGAGGAGGGAUCUGGUGGCUGGGACUCCCAUCUCCGAGGAGUAGGUGCUGCUCAGCGGGUGAUGGUGCCUCCGAGGGGCCCCAGGAAGCUGGCUCUGCGAGUGUCGAGGAAACUGCAGACUGGAUUCAGCUGCUGCCACGGGGACUGGCGCAGAUGGGGCGAGCCAGUGAGGCUGGGUUGGUGCGAGCAGGAACCGGGAGGAAGCGGAGGGAGCAGCCCCGCCACCUCCAGCCCUGCAGCGCGCUCUACCGCCCCCUGUCGGCAGACCCCGGCAGCGCGCGGCUGAUAAAGCCGGGUUUGGCCCGCGGAGCCCCAGCCCCAGCAUCUCACUGCUGAGGACAGAAGGGAAGGCUUGGAGCCAAGAGACUGAGAGCGUUGAAUAACGGGACAUCCUUUCCUAAAGAGUCCACAUCCGAGGAGCCUCAGACAGGAGUGGCCUGGGACCUGGCCAAGAACACAAAUCAAAGGGAGAGGGUUGGGUGCAAGUGCUGCCUGCUCCUGGGAGGAAGCUGCCUUCCUUGCCCGUUGUCCAAACAAUGGAAUUUCCUGGAUUCCUUGCUGCAGUUCUUCAAAGUUCAUGGACAUAUGCUGACUUUUUAAAAGCUCGCUGUUACCAGGGGCAAAAAGAAGCAUAAGAGAAAAAUGCUUACCUUCAGACUCCCCAAGGUAGUCAAAAAAUUCUUCCCAAAGAAAUGACCAACAGCGACAAAACUGCUCACCUGUUCGUCAUGAAUCUGGAUCCUGGCUGUCACACAGCAGGAGAGGGUCUAAUCAUCAAAACUGGGGUCCAGUGGUGUACCAAAUGGGUCCUACUGCCAGGCUAAUCUCACCCCCUUCCUCGUUCCCCCUCUAUCCUCCUCCCCCCACCCCAGCGGCUUCUUGUUCUCUGACUGUUCAAGAUGUUUCUCCCCUCUGCGCCUGUACCCUUGCUGUCUUUUCUGCCCACCCACACCCAUUCCAUUCCUCUGUCCAUUAACAUUCAACAUGGAGAAUGCCACCUUCAGGUGACCCUCUCAGAUUGUAUUCAUGCAGUGAUGGAGCUGGGCAGAGGAACACACUGGAAGGACACCUAAUACAAUCUGAGAGGGUCAGGGUGAGUGGGCAGCAAGGAAGGUGAGGACGUUAUGUUUAAGCUGACACCCAAUGACAAAUGUAGUAGAAUAAAGAGUAACAUCAAGAAGACGAAAUCGGGGACUUCACUGGUGGCACAGUGGUUAAGAAUCUGCCUGCCAAUGCAGGGGACAUGAGUUCGAUCCCUGGUCCGGGAAGAUCCCACAUGCCAUGGAGCAACUAAGCCCGUGCGCCACAACUACUGAAACCCACGCACCUAGAACCCGUGCUCCAGAACAAGAGAAGCCACGGUGAUGAGAAGCCUGUGCACCACAACAAAGAGUAGCCCCCGCUCGCCACAACUAGAGAAAAGCCUGCGCGAAACAACAAAGACCCAACACAGCCAAAAAUAAAUAAAGAAAUUAAUUAAUUAAUUUAAAAAAAAGACAAAAUCAGGGACUUCCCUGGUGGUCCAGUGGUUAAGACCCUGAGCUUCCAAUACAGGGGGUCCAGGUUCGAUUCCUGGCUGGGGAACUAGAUUCCACAUGGUACAACUAAGAGCCAGCACAGACAAAUAUUAAAAAAAAAAGAUGAAACCAUGCAAAGGGCCCCUGAGGCAUGAACAAAUGCAGCACUUGUAUUGUCCUUGUGUGUUUGUCAUCCGUCUCCUCCACCGAGCCGCAGUCUCCAUGACAGGAAGGACCACGUCUAUUUUAUUUGCCAACAUAUGCCCAGUGCCCAGCAUAGUGCCUGCCUGGCACAUAGUAUGUGAUCAGUAUAUAUUAUUGAAUAUUGAGUGAACCACUGCCCACCAUUCUUCCUGCCUAAGACCAGGACCAUUCCUGCAGGUCUGGGUCAUGGGGCCCCAGCUUGGGAGAACAGAGCAAGGCAGAAGCUGCUUUCCUUGUAGUGUCUGGCAGUGAGAGAGGGCCAGAGACUCAGGGCCCAGGUGAGUGAGCCCCAUCUCAGCCACAGCUUUCAAGGCUUCAAGUUCGGGCUGUUUAUUUUCUGUGCUUAUGGGAAUCUGAGAACAGUCUUGGCUGAAUUCAUUCUUAUCUCUCAGCUGCAUGGUAAUUUCUGGGGAAAAAGAAGCUUGGAAUUAAGAGUUCAAAUCCCCCGAAAGCCAUAUGCCAAGCCACAUAGGAGGAAAAAUCCCCAGCUGCCUUCUUUAGUAUAAGGAUGAUAGCAGCUAACUGGCAUGCUGAUCUGGGCCAGCCAAGCCUUUAACUCAAUCAAAACAACAACAACCACAGCAGCUAUAGAAUUCCUGCUGUGGCUGUUGGUUCUAGGGACCCAUCUCCUACCAGCUGCUUUGCAUGUUUUUACUUGUUUGUUUGUUAGUGUCUAGGAUAUUUAAGUUCUUUGAAGGCUCUGGGCCUAUUUCACUCUAUAUCAAAUAUCUUAAAUUCUAACCAACUCUUACAUUAGGUAUAAUGCAUUUUGCUCUUGCUCUAAAACAUUUGAAAGGGUUUUUGUUUCAGCUAGCUAAUGCUGCAUAACAAAUCACCUCAAAACUUAGUGGCUUAAAACAACAGUAUAUUAUCUUUCAUGGGGUGGUUUUUCUGCUCCAAGUAGGAUUAGCUGGGACAGUGGGUAACUAUAAUCAGCUGAAGCACUGACCAGGAGCUCAGCUGAAAUUGAAGUGUCCGGGCUGCCUGGGCAUCUGGAAUCAGUUGGUGCUUGACUGGGAGCUCAGGUGGGGCUGUAAUCUGGGGCACUUGGUUCUUCUCCAUGUGGGCCUUUCUAGGUGACCACUUGGACUGUCCCAUGACAUGGUGGCUAAGUUCUAAGUAGGACUGUGCCAAGAGGAAGCCUUCCAAAAGGAAGGCAGUAGAAGCUGCCAGGUCAAUUAAGGUCCAGUUUUGGAAUUGGUAUAGCAUUGUUUUGUCUAUAUUUUAUCAGUCAAAGCAGUGACAGGCCUGGCCCACAGUUAAUGUGGGAGGGAACACACAAGGGUAUAAGCACUGGGAGAUGUGAACGUCUGGGUCAUCAAAAUGAUCAUCUAAGUUUUUAAAUAAUUAUUACUGUGGUUCCUCAAAAAAUUAAACACAGGAAUACCAGCAAUUACACUUCUGCAUGUAUACCCAAGAGGUUUGAAAGCCAGGAUUUGAAUAGAUAUUUGUAUAUCCAUAGGUACAGCAGCAUUAUUCACAAUAGCUAAAAGGUGGAAACAACCCAGAUGUCCAUCGAUGGAUGAAUAGAUAAACAAAAUGUGGUCCAUCCAUAUGAUGGAAUAUAUUAUUCAGUCUAAAAAAGGAAGGAAAUUCUGAUCCAUGCUAUAACAUGGAUGAACCUGAAGACAUUAUCCUUAGUGAAAUAAGUCAGUCACAAAUGGACAAAUAUUGUAUGAUUCCACUUAUAUGAGGUGCCUAGGGAAGCCAAAUUCAUAGAGACAGUAUAUAGGAUAGUGCUUGCCAGAGGCUGGGGAGAGGAGGGGACGGGAGUGAUUGUUUAAUGGGUACCAAGUUUCAGUUUGAGAAGAUGAAAAGAUUCUGCAGAUGGGUAGUGAUGAUGAUUGUACAAUAACGUAAAUGUACUUAAUGCUAGUGAACUGUGUUUUUGAAAAUGGUUAAAUGUUAAAUUUCAUGUUAUGUAUGUUUUAUCAUAAUAAAAACGUUAUUCUUUUAAA